rnacentral:sRNA from 1 species
GCACUCUUUUCUUCGGCAGUCGUAGUUGC